rnacentral:rRNA from 1 species
AGAGUUUGAUCAUGGCUCAGGAUGAACGUUGGUAGCAUGCCUAACAUAUGCAAGUCGAGCGGAAAGUGGUAGCAAUAUCACUUUUAGCGGCGAACGGGUGAGUAAUGCUUAUCUUACCUACCGUUUAGUGGGGGUAAUCCCGCAUAUUCUGGCUUUAGCCAGGAAAGGAAACCGCAAGGUUUUCGCUAAAUGACGGAGAU